CCGGACCAAGUCCCCAAGGCCACUUCGCAGGCUCAGCGGCGCCUUGGACACUCGGGCAGGUUAAUUUAUGGCCGCAACACAAGCAGAGGAGAGCAUGCCUUUCCCGCACCACCUGCAACUUGCAAGGUGCCUUUUUAUUUUUACCCUGCUGCUCAUGGCGCAAGAAAUGGCAUUAAAAGUUCGGGAAUAAAUGAAGAAUUGACCAAUAAGAGACUGAGUGGCACAUGGCGGAUUUCAUAAAUAAGGCACCAUUCAUGGAGAACCACUGGGCUGAUGUAUUUGCUGAGGAGGCGGGACCCUCCAGACCUUGGCUUCAAGACCAGACCAGAGAAUCAAUAUGGCAGAGCUCCCAAGAGAAGGGUUCAUCAAGGAGGAAAAUAAGAGACACAGAGGCAGACGCCCACAGGAAGGGCGGUCCUGUGACGGUGAAGACAGCACAGGAUACUGCCAGCCCAGGGACACCAGCAAUUGCCAGCAAACCGCCGGGACCUGUGGGAGAAGCCUGGGAAGACCCCUCUUUGGAGCCCGCAGGAGGAACCCAGCCAGCCCGCACCCUGAUUUCAGACCUCUGCUCUCCAGAACUGGGAGGGGGCACAUUGCUGUUGUUUAAGCUUCUCUGUUGCGGGAAACAUCUUGCAGCAGCCUUAGGAAACGCACGAAGGGAUGAAAAGAAAACAGCUGCUUAGCGAAGCGCAGAAAGGCCUUCAUUUUCUGCGCGGGGUGGAAAGGCAGGCUUUUCUGUGGUUAAGGCAUGCAUUCCCGUGUGCUCAUUCCAGGUGAAUCUGCUACCCACCGAGGUGUAACAAAGGACUCCACAGGUAGAGGCCGCAAACCACACCCAUUUACCACGUCGCAGGUUCUGUAAGGCAGGGAUCCAGGCAGGAGGUGAUGGGUUCUCUGCUAAAGGGUCACCAGGCUGAAAUCAGGGCUGGGGGGAGGCGUCUCUUCCACGCUCCGUGGCUGUUGGAAGAAUUCAGUGUCUUGUGCUGGAGCAGAGAUUGUCAUCUCCCAGAAGCCACCUUUGCACCCCUGCCAAGUACUCUUUUCCCGCCAGGUACUUUGCUUCCUCGAGGCCACCGGGUUGUGUCUCUGCUGCUUCCAAGCACGCUGAGCUCGACACCUGAUGAGGCCAGGCCCACCCGGGAGGCUCUUCCACGAGGUUAGCUCGACUCCGUGGAUAAAGGACUUCAGUGACACCUGCAAAAUCUCUUUGCCUUUGCCAUGCAAUCCCGGCAGUGACCCCUCGUCCUCCUCCCAGUCCGUGUCCGAUUUAGAGAGCCAUGCGCUUUGGCCCCCCAGGACAAAGAAUUAAGGCUGCAGGUCCGAGGGAACUUUGUUUUUUUCUGUUUCCGGGGAGCCUCCCAGGGAGGGAAAGUUUGCUCCAAAAUGUAAAAGGACUUUGUCUGAACAUUUCCCACAUGAGGACGACUGUCUGUCUUGCGGGUUCCAUCCACUGUGACUGUCUCACAGUGUCGUUCGCGCUGCAAAUUGCUGCAUAGGACACAGUGGGCAAGCAGGUUCCCCAUUUAACAGCGGAAAUCAGAGCUGCCAUCCACCGGUGCGCAGCCUUUGAGAGAACGGCUUUCAAAAGAACAACAAACACCGCUGCCUUCUCAGGAAGAGAAGGCAAAAGAAGAAAGCAAAGACGCAUACCCCAAGGAGAAGCCUGGGUUCAGAGUGACCCCCCCUCUCACAAUCUGGGGGACCCUGGAGAGCCUCUGUUUCCUCCUUGCUGGGAAGAGGGCAUCAUCGCAUUUAUUUCAUGAACAGCAUUUAGUGGGACGGUGUGACCUGCACGUACCAGACACCCAGCCAAUACCCAGGAGCCUGUUUUUAGAAGCCCCCCUGACCUAGGGACCCCUCACCCACCCUCAUGCCCUCGGAAGCCUUUGGCACUUCUUUACAGAAAAACAAAGGGUCUGCGCUCCUGUUCCCCCACCUUAGAUGCUCGGUUUGGGACUUGUGACAUAUCUGAAGCAUCAGAAUCACAUGCCUUGGUUUGUACAGUGCUUGCCAUCAAGUGGGAGCUUAAUACAUUGCUGUUCAUUAAUGUACAAUUAUAAAUUACAUAAACAAAUAGUAUUAUGCAUAAACUGUAUACAACAUGUAGUUUAUAUAAAAACUCAGUAUCUACCAAACACGUUCCAUAUAACACAUAAAGUAUAUUAUGACAGGAGUU